GACGAACGCUGGCGGCGUGCUUAACACAUGCAAGUCGAACGAUGAAGAAAAGAAUUGAAGCUUCGGCAGAAAUUCAUUUCGGAUUAGUGGCAGACGGGUGAGUAACGCGUUAGCAACCUACCUCUUACAAAGGGAUAGCCUCGGGAAACCGGGAUUAAUACCAUAUAACAUUGCGACGAAGCAUUUCGAUGCAAUCAAAGCUACGGCGGUAAGAGAUGUGCUCGCGUCCCAUUAAACAGAUGGUGAGGUAACGGCUCACCAUAGUAACGAUGGGUAACCGGCAUGAGAGGGUGAACGGUCACACUGGAACUGAGACACGGUCCAGAAUACUACGGGAGGCAGCAGUGGGGAAUAUUGCACAAUGGAGGGAACUCAGAUGCAGCGACGCCGCGUGAGUGAUGAAGGAAUUCGUUAAGUAAAACUCUGUUCUAUGGGAAGAAAAGGACUGUACCAUAGGAGAAAGCUCCGGCUAAAUACGUG
rnacentral:rRNA from 1 species